AUGAGUGCCCCUCAAGUGUGGGUUCAGGAAAUUGGGGGCCAUCUGUCCUCUAGGUGGGCCCCUGCUCCUGCGGGCACCUGGGCCCAGGUGGGUUUUCUAUCCCAUCCUGCAUCCACCCCCUGGCUAAUGUGUGUGCCAGUGACAGGACUACUGUCAACUGGGUUCCCCCUCCCCACAGACAGGGCCCCCACCAUUGACUCCUCUGCAUCAUCCACAAUGACUGCCUCCCACCCCAGCUUCUCUCCACCCCACAAAGUCCCCAAUCCACCCUGGAGAAGCCCUACAGGGGAAGGGUGUGAGUGCUUGCAGGUGUUCUCAGUCGCUUCAGUCAUCUCGACUCUCUGUGACCCCAUGGACUCUAGCCUGCCAGGCUCCUCUGUCCAUGGGAUUUCCCAUGUCAGAAUACUACAGUGGGGUGCCGUUUUCACCUCCAUGGGAUCUUCCCGAUCCAGAGAUCAAACCCGGGUCCCAUGCAUUGCAGGCUGAUUCUUUACCGUCUGAGCCACCAAGAAAGUCUCCCUGGAGGGGGUGCCGGGGUGCAAACGUAAACCCACCUCAGAGGACAUGGGAACUCAACUGUUGCUUAUCUGGGACCAGGACGGAGCUCUGGUGUCAGCUCAGCUGCACAAAGGGCAGGACCCAGUCUCCCCCUUGCCCUCCCAGCUCCCCCAGCCUCUGUGACUUCAGACAGUGAUGUUGUUAGUCCAUGGGUCCCCAUUCUGGCUUCAGGCUGGUUCCACAGUAAAGCUGUGUCCUUUCCUACCUUUCUGGGAGGCUCUCUGGGUGGGGAAGAUCUCCUGGAGGAGGGCAUGGCAACCGACUCCAGUAUUCUUGCCUGCAGAAUCCCAUGGACAGAGAAGCCUGGAGGACUACAGUCCAUGGGGUUGGAAUGAGUCAGACAUGACUGAGUGACUAAACAAUUCUGCUUUGCAGACCACUUGAGCACCACGGGCAGGGUGACACAUGGCAGCACUUUGUCCAGAAGCUUCAGCAGCCUCGACUCCUUGUGAGAGAUGGGUGACUUCUUGUGCAGGCAGUAGGUCAUCGUACUGUGGCUCCCUGCAGGCAAACCUCACUCCCUGAGUCUGUCGUCUGUGCCCCCAAGCCGCCCUAAGGAUGCACAGCUAUAGCGCCGUGGGGUAAGGGGGAGUCCCGAAAGUCAUAGCCACUGAGUCCUGGGAACUGAAUCUUGUCUCAAAAGAGAGCCUCUGCAGAUGUGAGAAAGUGAAAGUCAGUUUAUUUAAGGAAUCCCGUUUUUGGACAGGAGAGGCUUAAGAUGGCUUUUGAUUUUAUGGUCUGUUGUUUCCCAGGUGGUGCUUAUGGCAAAGAGCCUGCUUGCCAAAGCAGGAGGGAUAAAAGAUGCAGGCAUGAUCCCUGGGUUGGGAAGAUCCCUUGGGACGGGAAUGACAACCUACUUUCUUGCCUGGAGGGUCCCAUGGACAGAGGAGCCUGGCAGGUACAGUCCAUGGAGGUGCAAAGAGUCAGACACAACUGAGCACAGACAGACCCUCUCUAGUUACAAGUACUUUGAAGUUAUUCAUAGUAUUUUCAGGCUCUUUAUGAUGCCAAUGUUGU
rnacentral:lncRNA from 1 species